CAAAUGAUUAACGCAUUAGAGGACACCAGGUCAAAAGACCAAUAAACCAUAGUCCAUUGGUUCGAGAGAAUGACAAGCUAAAGGAAGCCAUUACACAAACGCUUAUUCUUCUUUCCACGAUCGUUCCUUCUAAAGACCGAAGAACCGGAUGUUUUGUCUUACCAGUUACCAUGAUAGAUUUCUGACUACCCACCCUGAUCCCAAUCUGAAGCCAUAUCGCAAGAGGAUCUACUUUUUUGCUUUAGAUAUGAUC
rnacentral:lncRNA from 1 species